UACGUAGGGAGCAAGCGUUGUCCGGAAUUACUGGGUGUAAAGGGUGCGUAGGCGGGUCGGCAAGUCAGACGUGAAAUACCGGGGCUCAACUCCGGGGCUGCGUUUGAAACUGUCGAUCUUGAGUGAAGUAGAGGUAGGCGGAAUUCCUAGUGUAGCGGUGAAAUGCGUAGAUAUUAGGAGGAACACCAGUGGCGAAGGCGGCCUACUGGGCUUUAACUGACGCUGAGGCACGAAAGCGUGGGGAGCGAAC
rnacentral:rRNA from 1 species